rnacentral:rRNA from 1 species
AAUCAACGCUGGCGGCGUGCCUAACACAUGCAAGUCGAACGCGAAAGUCCCGCAAGGGAUGAGUAGAGUGGCAAACGGGUGAGUAACGCGUGGGUGACCUGCCUUCGAGUGGGGGAUAACGUUCCGAAAGGGACGCUAAUACCGCAUGACAUCCUGCCUUUGAAGAGGUGGAGAUCAAAGCUGGGGAUCGCAAGACCUAGCGCUUGGAGAGGGGCCCGCGUCCGAUAGCUAGUUGGUGGGGUAACGGCCUACCAAGGCAACGAUCGGUAGCCGGCCUGAGAGGGCGGACGGCCACACUGGGACUGAGACACGGCCCAGACUCCUACGGGAGGCAGCAGUGGGGAAUUGUUCGCAAUGGGCGCAAGCCUGACGACGCAACGCCGCGUGGAGGAUG